rnacentral:rRNA from 1 species
GAUGAACGCUAGCUACAGGCUUAACACAUGCAAGUCGAGGGGCAGCAUGAGGUCAGCUUGCUGACUUUGAUGGCGACCGGCGCACGGGUGAGUAACGCGUAUCCAACCUUCCCGCGACUGGGGGAUAACCUUGCGAAAGUAAGACUAAUACCCCAUGGUUUCCGAGGCGGACAUCCAAUUUGGAAUAAAGAUUCAACGGUUGUGGAUGGGGAUGCGUCUGAUUAGCUUGUUGGCGGGGUAACGGCCCACCAAGGCUACGAGCAGUAGGGGUUCUGAGAGGAAGGUCCCCCACAUUGGAACUGAGACACGGUCCAAACUCCUACGGGAGGCAGCAGUGAGGAAUAUUGGUCAAUGGACGAGAGUCUGAACCAGCCAAGUAGCGUGCAGGAUGACGGCCCUAUGGGUUGUAAACUGCUUUUAUACGGGAAUAAAGUCAACCACGUGUGGUUGUUCGUAUGUACCGUAUGAAUAAGGACCGGCUAAUUCCGUGCCAGCAGCCGCCGUAAAAC